rnacentral:tRNA from 1 species
UCCAGGGUAGCCUAGUGGAUAUGGCAUCUGCCCGGUAAGCAGAACACUGUGGGUUCGAUUCUCAUUCGUGGAC